CAGUUGUUCCAUAUAAGGUUCUGACUUUUGCUUCUUGACUGGCAUAGACGUUUCUCAGGAGACAGGUAAGAUGAUCUAUUCCCAUGUCUUUAAGAGUUUUCCACAGUUUGUUAUGGUUCGACAGAGAUAACAAACAGCACCGUGAUCUUGGCAGCCGAAAUCACCCAGGCUCACGCUUGGGUCCAUCACGUGUUGUUGGUGAGGAGCUCUGCCACUCACAGCAUCACCGCCCAGGCUACUGGAGCCUCCUCUCACCACGCUUAUGGCAGCAGGACAAGGGACAGAGGCAGACCGGAUGCUGGUUCUUACAGCUUCUGCCUGAAAGUGGGUACAUGUCCAUGCUGUUCUCUGGCCUCUGCACCUGCCCUUCCCUCUGCCAGGAAUGACUUUUCGCCUGUCUCUGCCCGGACCACUCCUUCGGCUUAUGAGGGCUCAGCUCAGCUCCACUCCUCAGAGAGAAGUCUUCCCCAGCAUCCUGGUCAAUGCUGCCCCCUCAGCCAGUCUCUAGCCCAUCACUUUGUUUUCAUUUUUGCCCAGCCUCUCUCGGCACAUACUCUGAGUGGAGAUGGUUUCUUUGUGUCUUUGAAUAGCAUCCUUCUCUCUGCCCUGGAAUGGAAGCUCAUGAAAACUGCUCUCUCCGGUUCCUAGAAUAGAACCCAAUACACCAGAGACGCUUGUGGCCUGAAUGAAUGACUACAUGAACAGAAACGAAAUGGCAAAGUUUCCCUUUUAUUCUCUUUACUUUACUGGGUCUUGGCACAAAUGCAGAAAAAUCUGAAUUCCAAAAAGGAGUAGAGUAACUCUCAGGGUAUGUUUAGAGGUUGUUCCCAUUCCGCUUUUGGCUGAAUGUUUCUUGUAGGAUGAGCAGAAGACCGGCAAGCCUUUACAGACAGGAAGGCUGGCUGCCUAGCGACCAAAGGUCGUGGCUUGAGAGCUCCCUGUCCAAAUGGAUUUGACUGGUACGAGGACUUAGGUGGAAGACAUGUUUUUUGAUGAUACUACUAAAAAUCUCCAUUAUUGCUCAGUGAGCAAAUGAGAAUUAAGGGCCUGUCGUUCCUUCUUAGGAUAAUGGAGUCAGUCUCUGAAAGUUCAUUUGACACAAAGGCAAGGCGAAUCGCUUUCCCCCGAGCUGCAGAUAAUUCAACUUGUUGGAGAAGUUAUGCAUUAAAGUUCUCAUUAAAAACACACACACCAGUGUGCUGUGGAGGAACCGACGGGCACUCGCUGAGCCGUGGAAAAUGCUUUGCAACUCCCUAGAGGUGUAGAUUUCAAUGCAGCUGCCGGUGCCAAUGGCAGGACCCCAGCAGAAGUUUGAGACAGCAGGAGGAACAAGCAGGCAUCUCGGAGGAAUACAGAGGUGAAUUCUUCCACUUGGCAAACAUGUCGCAAGAUCAGGAUUGUCAUGCUAGGUGUGCGGAGUCAGAGAUGAUUCAAAGUGUGGUCUCUGUCUUCACACAGUUCACAGUCUUGUGAGGAGAAAAGCUAGUGAAUCCUGCAGAUUGGAGGGGGGUCCCAGUGAGCUCAGAGGAGAAUGAGGAGGGGGAAUCAGGGCUGCUUUCUCUUGGAGAGACGAUACUCAAAGGGCCAGCAGGCAUCUUGGUGAUGAGUCUCACAUGAGGGAGCAGGUGGGAACGUAGGCAGUUGUGGGGAGGUCCUCCCCGUCCGUGUGCCGUUUCCUCCGUGUGUCUGUGUUAGCCUCCGAUGAAUGCCUUUUAACUAAUACCACAGACCUGGCAGUUGAGAGCAACACGCAUGUGUUGUCUUACAGUUCAGGAGGUCAGGAGUCUAAGCCAGGUCUCACUGGGCUGAAGUCUAGGUGUGGGCACAGCUGAUUCCUCCUGGUGGCUCCAGGGAAGAAUCGUUUCCUGGCCUUUUGCAGCUUCUGGAGGCUUCCUGCAUUCCUUUACCUGUGACCCCUGUCUCCAUCUUUAGUGCCACAUCUCUCUGACCACUCUGCCAUAGUCCCAUCUUCUGCUGACCACACCAGGGAAAGGUUCUCUGCUUUUGAGAUUCAUUGUGGUCCAACCAGGUAACCCAGGAACAUCUCCCCAUCUCAGGGUCCCUCAUCACCUCUGCAAAGUCCCUGUUGCUAUGUGAGGUAGUGUAGCCAGGUCCUGGAGAUCAGGGUGAGAGCAUCUCAGGGAAGAUGAUCAAAUCAGUCAGUCUUAAGGGAAAUGAACCCUGAAUACUUGUUGGAAGGACUGAUGCUAAAGCUGAAACUCCAGUAUUUUGGUCAUCUGAUGCGAACAGCUGACUCAUCGGAAAAGUCCCUGAUGAUGGGAAAGAUUGAGGGCAGAAGGAGAAGAGGGUGUCAGAGGAUGAGGUGGCUGGAUGGCAUCACCGAUGCAGUGAACGUGAACUUGGGCCAACUUCGGAGAUGGUGAGGGACAGAGAGGCCUGCCAUGCUGCAGUCCAUGGAGUCACAAAGAGUCCCACGUGACUUAGCGACUAAACAACAACAAAGAGACAGUUGCACUGCUCCUCCCAAAUGUGACAGAUGUGCUUAAAAUAUAUGUGCUUUUCUUUGAAUUCUGUGUAUCUUGGUUCGUGAAUUUCAAAGCACAGUUCUGACAAGGGGAUGGCAGGACUUCCCCAAGGCCUCACAGAGAGCCCUGCCAGCGUCCCCCUCACGUCCCCAGGGUCUCCCUCUCUGCCACCCCCGUUGCUCCCAGUCCUGGUGGAGGGCCACCCCCUUCCUCUGCUGUUUUCAGCAGCCUCGCUCUUUCCAGGCUCUUCCCCCUAUCCCUUCCCCACCAAGUUCCUUUUUUGUACAAGCAGGUGCUGGCUAAAUAAUUAAUAGGGUGGGAAAACUUGUUGGAAAUAGUACAGCUCAUGUUUAUUUUUAAGCAGCUGAGUUAUAGAGCUCUGCUCCAGGUGCAGUGCAGGUGGGGAAAGCAUCUUUGGCUAAAAAGAGGCGCUAUGAGGUUGAUGGGGGCUGCUGCGUGCAGAAGGCGGAGAAUUUUUGGAUAAGCCAGGGCCCUGGGAGAGCUGGGGGUUUGGGGACAGGUUGGGGCUCCAGCAUGAGAAACCCAGGGAAGGAGUGACCCGAACAGUGAGU